UCAGCUCUCUUUGCCUUUUGGCUAAGAUCAAGUGUAGUAUCUGUUCUUUUCAGUUUAAUCUCUGAAAGUGUUCUAAGGAACACAAUCGUGAUUAUACCUAUUUUUGGCUUCCCGGGCUUUGGCCGCUGUGCUUGCACAUGUCUUUGCCCACAGUGUCCCUGGUAUUACACUGCCUCCAGGAGACGCGAACUUUU
rnacentral:snRNA from 1 species